AUUGAACGCUGGCGGCAUGCCUUACACAUGCAAGUCGAACGGCAGCACGGGAGCAAUCCUGGUGGCGAGUGGCGAACGGGUGAGUAAUAUAUCGGAACGUGCCCAGUCGUGGGGGAUAACGUAGCGAAAGCUACGCUAAUACCGCAUACGAUCUAUGGAUGAAAGCGGGGGAUCGCAAGACCUCGCGCGAUUGGAGCGGCCGAUAUCAGAUUAGGUAGUUGGUGAGGUAAAGGCUCGCCAAGCCGACGAUCUGUAGCUGGUCUGAGAGGACGACCAGCCACACUGGGACUGAGACACGGCCCAGACUCCUACGGGAGGCAGCAGUGGGGAAUUUUGGACAAUGGGCGCAAGCCUGAUCCAGCAAUGCCGCGUGCAGGAUGAA
rnacentral:rRNA from 1 species